rnacentral:lncRNA from 1 species
GUCAGUCCAGUGUUAAAAACACAACGAAUAUCAGCAGGAGAAAUCGUACUGUUCUCAACACAGAAAUCAGCAGGAGAAUCAUAAUCAGAGUAACAUGCAGGAGAAACAGUAUCCACAUAACCAAAAUAGGUAGACAUGGGAAAAAAAGGAAAAAGAAGAAUGCAAUGAAAAUAUGAAACUAAGGCUAUCUAAAUGCAACACACAAUGACGAACACACAAAACAGAACAUCACACUCACAACACAAGACAAAACACAACACACAAUAACACAACAAAAGACCUAAAACUGAACCAUUGGUCCCCG